rnacentral:rRNA from 1 species
UACGUAGGUGGCAAGCGUUGUCCGGAUUUAUUGGGUUUAAAGGGUGCGUAGGCGGCUUUGUAAGUCAGUGGUGAAAUAUGGCAGCUCAACUGUCAAGGUGCCAUUGAUACUGCGGAGCUUGAGUACAGAUGAGGUAGGCGGAAUUGACUGUGUAGCGGUGAAAUGCUUAGAUAUCGUCAAGAACACCUAUAGCGAAGGCAGCUUACUAGGCUGUAACUGACGCUGAGGCACGAAAGUGUGGGGAUCAAACAGG